AACGAACGCUGGCGGCGCGCCUAAUACAUGCAAGUCGAGCGAGAAGACGUAGCAAUACGUUUGUAAAGCGGCGAACGGGUGAGGAAUACAUGGGUAACCUACCCUCGAGUGGGGAAUAACUAGCCGAAAGGUUAGCUAAUACCGCGUACGCUCCUUGGACUUCGGUUCAGGGAGGAAAGCGAUACCGUGGGUAUCGCGCUCAUGGAUGGGCUCAUGUCCUAUCAGCUUGUUGGNGAGGUAACGGCUCACCAAGGCUUCGACGGGUAGCUGGUCUGAGAGGACGAUCAGCCACACUGGCACUGCGACACGGGGCCAGGACUCCUACGGGAGGCAGCAGUAAGGAAUAUUGCGCAAUGGGCAAAGCCUGACGCAGCGACGCCGC
rnacentral:rRNA from 1 species